rnacentral:rRNA from 1 species
AUUGAACGCUGGCGGCAUGCCUUACACAUGCAAGUCGAACGGCAGCACGGGGCAACCUGGUGGCGAGUGGCGAACGGGUGAGUAAUGCAUCGGAACGUACCUUUCAGUGGGGGAUAACGUAGCGAGAGUUACGCUAAUACCGCAUAUUCUGUGAGCAGGAAAGCAGGGGAUCGCAGGACCUUGCGCUGAUUGAGCGGCCGAUGUCAGAUUAGCUAGUUGGUGAGGUAAAGGCUCACCAAGGCGACGAUCUGUAGCGGGUCUGAGAGGAUGAUCCGCCACACUGGAACUGAGACACGGUCCAGACUCCUACGGGAGGCAGCAGUGGGGAAUUUUGGACAAUGGGGGCAACCCUGAUCCAGCCAUGCCGCGUGAGUGAAGAAGGCCUCCGGGUUGUAAAGCUCUUUCGGCCGGGAAGAAAUCGCACGGGCUAAUACCCUGUGUGGAUGACGGUACCGGAAUAAGAAGCACCGGCUAACUACGUGCCAGCCGCCGCGGUAAUAC